AACCGUCGACUAGCCGUCGUCCGAUUCCUGCCCACUUGUACCUUCCGUCGUAACGGGAUCCGCCGCGGCGGCGGCGGAGACUAUUGUUUCCAAUCCUCCCAGGCUGCUAGGGUUCCAUCUCUCCGGCCGCUGCUGCUUCCGGAGGACGAGGCCGGUGCCGGAGUCGGAGGCGUCGCGCUUGGAUCUUCCCCUCCCAAACCGGUGGAUUCCGUUUUUCUGGAUCUGGGCAAAGGGAUCACGACCGUGGGCUGGGGAUGGGCGAUCACACAGAGGAGAGACAAGAAGGCUCUCCUUGGACUAUGGCUACGGUGAGCUCUUCUAUGGGCGCCAUAAAUUCCCUCCUCGACAAGCUGCCUGCUGAACCGGAGUUCACGAAAUUAAGGCAAUACCUUGAUGGCAUCCAGCAACAUCUGCUUGGAUUCUGUGCCUGAGGGGUGGUGACGAACGCGCUGGACCACCAUUGGAUGAAGCAGCUCCGCAAGCUCGCCUGUGAUAUUGAGGACUGGAUUGACAAGCUCCUCGUCAAGUCCGGGUGUCGAUUCAAGCAGGAAUCAGAUGGCUCCAAUCUGCUUCGAGAAUUUAAGAACCGGAUUGUUGAUUUGCAAGAUCUUGGAAAACACUUUGGACCUAGAAGACACCACCCCUGAGAAAAUUAUGCAUGGUGAUGAGAUUCCGUGUGGGUAGAAGCCUUGCGCCGUUGGUUUCGGUGGCCCAGAAAGUGAGAUUGUCCAGCGCCUGAUAGAUGAUGAGAAAGAGCUUAAAGUUGUUUCAGUUCUUGGGCCAGGAGGCCUGGGCAAGACCACUCUUGCUAGGGAGGUAUUUAAAAAACAGCGAAGCCAGUUUGACUGUGGAGCUAUUGUAUAUGUUGGCCGGUACCCAUCUUUAGAUGAUACUUGAAUGAAUGUCGCCCGUCAAGUGAUGCCCAAUAGUCUUGUUCCCUGUGACAAGAAGGUUAUCACCAAAAAAUUGAGGGAAUUCCUUUACACAAAGAGGUACCUCAUUGUAAUUGAUGACAUAUGGACCAUUUCCUCUUGGAACUCUACCACAUGUGCUUUUCCAGAGAAUAACCUCGGAAGUAGGAUACUUAGCAACAACUGAGGCUGAGAAGUUAGCCAAGUUCUGCUUUGUAAAGCAAAUUGACUACAUCUUUGUGUUAAAGCCUCUUGUUGCUCAGUAGGAUGUCUUUUUCAGAGGAAGAUUGCCAAAAUUAUCGAAAUAUUCUCAAAAGCGCACUUAAAGUGUGCGGCGGCAAACCAUUGGCGGUAGUUGUCACAGCUGGCUUGUUAGCCACAAAAGCAGGACAGCACUUGGGUGUUUGAGAACACUGUUUUAUCAACGAUGAAACAAGACUAUGGACCACAAGACUAUGUGACCAAGAUACUGGUCAUGAGUUACAGUGAUUUGCCUCUCCCACCUAAAGUCAUGCUUCCUUUACUUGAGUACUUUUCCAGAGAAUUAUACAAUCUUGAAAGAUCAUCUGAUCCGCAGAUGGAUUGGCGGAAGGUUUCAUUCCUUUGAGAAAGGGAGAAAGCUUAUGGAGUGUUGGCGAGAGCUAUUUCAAGGAGCUUGCUAGGAGGGGACUGAUUCUGUCCCCUUGCGUCCCGGCUCUUGCAGGGAGACCAUGGUGAGGAGAAGGCCGCGCCGGAGUUAGGGGCGCUGGAGAUAAGGGCGGUGGGCUGGCGGCCAAGAGGAGGGAACGAGGCCGGGAAGGGAAGACCGAUUGGUUUUCGUUGAACCUUCCAAGUGGGCCCGCCUGUAAGAGGGGUACUUUGGCUAUUUUCAUAAAAAAAUCUGAGUUCUAA